rnacentral:rRNA from 1 species
AUUGAACGCUGGCGGCAUGCUUUACACAUGCAAGUCGAACGGCAGCGCGGGCUUCGGCCUGGCGGCGAGUGGCGAACGGGUGAGUAAUACAUCAGAACGUGCCCAGUAGUGGGGGAUAGCUCGGCGAAAGCCGGAUUAAUACCGCAUACGACCUGAGGGUGAAAGCGGGGGAUCUUCGGACCUCGCGCUAUUGGAGCGGCCGAUGGCAGAUUAGCUAGUUGGUGGGGUAAAGGCCUACCAAGGCGACGAUCUGUAGCUGGUCUGAGAGGACGACCAGCCACACUGGGACUGAGACACGGCCCAGACUCCUACGGGAGGCAGCAGUGGGGAAUUUUGGACAAAGGGCGAAAGCCUGAUCCAGCAAUGCCGCGUGUGUGAUGAAGGCCUUCGGGUUGUAAAGCACUUUUGGCGGGAACGAAAAGGACUGUGCCAAUACCACGGUUCGAUGACGGUACCCGCAGAAUAAGCACCGGCUAACUACGUG